CAGAUCCGAUUCGGAUUCAUUUCAGUAGCAAAGCAGAGCACGAGCAGGAAACACAUCAAUUAGUCUCUAAACAAAAUUAAGGACAGGAAGAAUCGCAGCAGCCCAUGAAGACACUAUACAUUGAUUGGCGCAAAACAUAUGUUCAGUGGGGCCAUAUGACGUCUUAUUUGAGCGACUUCAUAGAACGCCUAUUUCUGUGACGUUGUGGUCGGCCAUGGUGAGUGAAUUUUUCGUCAUACGACCCCAUGGCACAUAUGUUUCGCGCCACCCAAUCUAUGGUAUUUUCGUCUGCUGCUGCGAUGAAGAGCCGUCCAUUGUACUGUCAUAGGAGUGACCUCAUUAAGUUGAAAUCCCGAAAAAUCCCAAAGAAGUCUUCCAGCAGAUUCCAAAAGUUUUGGCAUUCAAGGAAGAAACGAGCAAAACAAAGGACCUGUUCUCUGGGAGUAUGUUCACGUAAGGGGGCUGCUGUCCAUUCCAUUUCCGAUUUCACCGAGCGUGGUCUGGAUUUAAUGUCGCAGCCUAGCAUACCGCAUGCCUCCUCCAUACAUCCACACGAGGGGCUUUCUACACUCUCCUCACUCGACUGAAUAUUCAGUCACUGAAUUUUCCCUAUUCCUAAUACUUACCGUUUAGUCUUUGUGGGUUUUCCAUGUCCCUGGCACUCAAUCGUGGAUGGCUGUACGCAUUCGCUACUGGAUCCUGAGGAUAGCUCACUGACGGAUGAUUCGCUUCCUUCGAGCGACACAACUUCAAUACUUGGGUCUGACACCGAAUUAUCGAUAUCCCCGGCUUCGAGAGAAAAUAGUAUCAAGCACACAAAAUUGUUGCCUUCAUAGCAAGACACAACCGGCUUAAUUUGUUUCUUGUUGCCUAGACCAGCAACUUCUGCUAUGAGAUCUGAACCGGCCAACGUUACAUCUGAAGCAGAAAUCUCCAAUGUUCCCCGCUGAAUUUUGACCAGACUAUCGAACUGUCUUAAGCUUAUAUAUGGUAGCUGAGAUCGGUACUUUCAUGACCAAUUGCUGGAAAAGAACACUUGGUCACGAUUACAAAAUAAGCAAAGCAAGGUUUUUAGUUGAGUUCACGAAGUCGAAUGAUUGAAGUACUGUACUCUCUGAACGAGUCGAAUUUUACAAAGGUCCCAGGAUUUCUUCCGGAGGAUGGCCCAAUGCCAGAAGACUGGCUACCGUACCGGACGACUGGAAUUCAAUGCUUGAGCUGAGUUGGGCGCUCGUUCAAAACCAACUGAGACCAACUUGGCCGCACAACUUGAUAUGGAACGGAAAUUACUGUGGUUCUUCUUAAAACUACCUGGUCGAACACGAUGUCGCAACCGGAAGAGAUCCUGUUUGCUUAUAUAAAAAAGUGAAUAAAUUUUGCAUUUUUUGUAUAAAUUAA